rnacentral:tRNA from 1 species
GGUGGCUCAGCGGUAGAGUAUUUGCCCCUCAUGCAUGAGGCCCUGGGUUCGAUUCUCAGCACCA